rnacentral:lncRNA from 1 species
CCCCUGUCUCUUCCACCAGGUGCCAUCUUAGUUUCCGACCACAAAGCUAGCCCAUCUUUUUUAAGGAUUCCCAUUUAGGGCCCCACAUAUGGGAUCUGAUUUUUUUCCCUUGGAAAGAAGAUUUCAUACCAAAAAAUUUAGAAACCAUUAAGCCAAGGAAGUCGGAUACUACUGAGCGACUGAACUGAACUGAAGCCAAGGAAGACGCCCUGCAGGUCCCUGGGGUACCUCGGAGGCCACACCAGUGCCAACAAGAGGAAUUCCUGAAGGAUUGGCUGAGACCUCAUUUACAACCACUGGUGAGUCAACUUCUCUGCCUAAUCCUGCCUUCC